rnacentral:rRNA from 1 species
UACGUAGGGGGCAAGCGUUGUCCGGAUUUAUUGGGCGUAAAGAGCGUGUAGGCGGCCUGAAAGGUCAGCUGUGAAAACUCGAGGCUCAACCUCGAGACGUCGGUUGAAACCACCUGGCUAGAGUCCGGAAGAGGAGUGUGGAAUUCCCGGUGUAGCGGUGGAAUGCGCAGAUAUCGGGAGGAACACCCGUGGCGAAGGCGGCGCUCUGGGACGGUACUGACGCUGAGACGCGAAAGCGUGGGGAGCAAACAGG